rnacentral:rRNA from 1 species
UACGGGGGGGGCAAGCGUUGUUCGGAAUUACUGGGCGUAAAGGGCUCGUAGGCGGCCAACUAAGUCAGACGUGAAAUCCCUCGGCUUAACCGGGGAACUGCGUCUGAUACUGGAUGGCUUGAGGUUGGGAGAGGGAUGCGGAAUUCCAGGUGUAGCGGUGAAAUGCGUAGAUAUCGUAAGGAGGACCAGUGGCGAAGGCGGGUCUCUGGACAGUUCCUGACGCUGAGGCACGAAGGCCAGGGGAGCAAACGGG